rnacentral:rRNA from 1 species
AUUGAACGCUGGCGGAAUGCUUUACACAUGCAGUCGGACGGCAAACCGGACUACGGUUUGGUGUCUACUGGCGAACGGGGGACUAAUGCGUCGUAUCAUGCACACUCGUUGGGGAUAGCAGAUCGCUAGAAGAAACAAUACCGCAUACGUCCUAAUGGGGCAAGCGGAGAGUCGCUAGACUUCGCGCGAUUGGCCAGCCCGAGGUGCGAUUAGCUAGUUGGUGGGGUAAAGGCCAACCAAGGCGACGAUCUGUAGCUGGUCUGAGAGGAUGAUCAGCCACACUGGAACUGAGACACGGCCCAGACUCCUACGGGAGGCAGCAGUGGGGAAUUUUGGACAAUGGGGGCAAGCCUGAUCCAGCCAUUCCGCGUGUGUGAAGAAGGCCUUCGGGUUGUAAAGCUCUUUCGGCAGGGACGAAACGGUGAAAGAUAACAUAGUCGGUUAAUGACGGUACCUGAAGAAGAAGCACCGGCUAACUACGUG